AUUAUAGCGUAUCUUCUUUCCCGAUGACACGACGUAGCUUGCAUUGCAUCUUGGACACAGUAGUCAAUAAACUUCUACAAUGUUAGAGACGCUUUGUGAAAAGGACUACAUUUCCCAUAAUGCCCCGCCCAACGCUCGCUGGAGAAACCGGAAGCGCGAAUUUGAAACGCUGAACCAACGACGCGGGACCUUUUGUUUGUAUUGUGAAGAGCUGUAUAAUAAAGCAAGAAAUCAUGUACACAUUAUCAGCUUUAGAAGUGGAUGUCAUUCCUGCAGUCUUUGUGAAGAAUGAUGCGAGUUAAAUUUAUUUCAUUUGAACAACCUAACAGGUUAAACGGUAAACAAAUCUGUGUAUUUGAUAUGACUUUGAUAGAUAUUGUUACAACUUGGAAAACAACAGACCAAACCAGUCAGAGACAGCGAUGUGAGGACAUCAACAGAAAAUAAAAUGCUGUAAGAAGUCCUUUAUGUGCACAGAGAUGGAGGUUGAAAAGUUACUAAAACACGCUCAUAUUAGGCACGGUUCCUUGAAUCGUGCCUGAGCUCGCUUUCAUCAUUAGGAUGCGAUUGUUUGCAGAACACAAGAAGUAAAGCACUGUCAAUGUGAGUCAAACAACUGCUCGACUGAGGAGUUGAAGAGAGAAGGGCAGCUGCACAUUUCUAAAAUUGUGAAAGCACUCUGUCGGCUACACAACUCGGAGGCAAAUUGUAGGCACUAUCACCAGGAGCAGAGAUUAAGCUCACCACAUAAUGGGAAGGACACCUCAUUUUUAGUGGGAGCACUGGCUACAAGCCUGGAGUUGCACAAUGAAGGCCUUGAUAAAAAUUAAUUUGUGGCCUGCAAGACAUGACCAGAGCUAGCCAGUGUGGCCACAUCACGGAGUGACCAGAGGAGGAAGAGGUUGUGUUUCUGCUCUUGGAGUCAAACCCAGUGUACUAGCUGUGGACAAAGUGGGCUUCUGAAGGGGAAUCACCACUGACAUGAUUUCAGAUGAAGAAUACUAUGCUGUUGAUGGAGUGUCGGGUGGAUUGUGAGACCUUCAUCGUUCUGCAGUCAGGCGCUCCGCAAUCUGUGUGCUAAGCUGCAGCUGCAACUGUGUGUGUUCAAACUAUGCAGCGUUGCAUCACAGUCUGCAAUCUGAAUUGCUGUCUAACAGAAUGCCACCGCUUACCUAUGACCCCAAGGCAGCAAAAUGAACACAUUUGAUGCCAAAUGUGAUCCCAACAACAUAAUCGUUGGCUUUUUUUGACUUUGUGUGUAUUUAUUUUUCCUAUGCUUUAUUAAUAAAACUCUUAAAUUUUAUCAACAUGUCUCUCCCAAAUGUCUGUUUUCUUUCCCUAAUAUUUUUUUAUUAAUGCCCUUAGCCCAUGGUAUACGUUACAUAGUCUUUAUAAUAUUAGCCUUCAUGACACAUACAUUUUUUGUUAUAUCUCAUAUAAUAUAUCUAAUAUAAACCGUAAUUUUAUUAAAUAAUAAAAGGGAGGGGUUUAUUCAAAAUAGUAUUAUAAUUGCCCAGACUGGCCAAUCGCAACAAAUAUAUCAGCCAAUGACAGAUGCUAUUUCUGUUUUAAAAGUUGUUGCUACCGAAACUGCUCAUUUUUAAUACGUACAUUUAAACUUGUGUGCAAAUAGUAUAAAAUAGUGAGUUUAUUCAAUAUAAAAUACAUUAGGUCCCCUGUUAAAUAGUGAAGUGUGACAUCUGUUUAAUUGCAACUACAUUUCUUUCCAUGAGAAGAUUUCAGGGGUUUAAACUUAAACUAUUGUUUAUU